UAUGUUAUAUAGGGAAAAAUUUCUUUUGUAUGGCAGAUCAUGCUGCAGUGAGAAACCAAGAAAUUCCUAUUGUUGUGUGCCAUUGAGUGUCAUGGAAAAAGGAUAUGGAUUCAGGGAUAAGGAUGUGUGAAGCUGCAGGAAAGCAAGCUGGGAGCUAUAUAACCAGAAUUCCAGGAGAAUCGGGCUGUAGGUCUGUGAAGGGUAUUGUUAUGAGAUGUAGGGAGUUGCUCAACAGAUUGAAUUGUUAAUUGUGAAAUAGCAGUGAGGCAGAAUGGCUACAAAACAUAGACUUCAGAAGAGAAGGCCUGUAUUCUACAUGCUGUAUUAAGGGAACAAUAUUGGAUUUUCAGAUUUCAUGCAAAUGAUAGAAAACAUUUAACAAGUUUAUACUGGGCACUGAACAAUAUGGCAUACAGAAGUUUGGAUUCUUUUGGCUGGAUAGUUUGUACAGUAUGGUGAAACUAGAGGAUGAAAGCUCACAUACAAGUAGCAAGUCCUCAGUUUCUAGUUAGGAUGAGUUGACAGUGUUUGUACAAGAGAAUGCCUUGUCAAGGUUUGUGUUUGGUCAGUGUCAUCUGAACGUGUCUAGCACCACAGUCCAUAGAGUACAGAAACUUCUCACUGCUGCAUACAACUCUGACUGUGAGCCUUACUCAAAACCCCAUAAUGAACAAAUCUCAACAAGCUACAGUAUUACAUCCGUGUUUGGUCUGCAGGUAACAAGUCAGCAGUUUGACCUCCAGAUCACAUCAACAGUGUACUCUCGUAAAUUGGUACAGCUUGUGAGCAAGAUAACAGGUCCUUCUAGCAGCCUACUGCAUCACUGCCACUUACACACUCAGAUGAAGGAUAACCUCCAGCAGUAAAAGAUAUAAAGGUUCACUGCAGUUUUGACAAUGUCCAACAAGUAUUGUGCCCAUACUAUGCUCAGCAUGUAGGGUCCUUGUAUUUUAAGCCAACACAUAAAUGCAGAUUCUUUGGAGUUGCUGUGAAUCCUCAUGCAGGCUCUCAGAUUUUCUACCUAGUGUAUGAAAAGUACAGUACUGCUGUUGGAAGGGGAGCAAACACUGUGGUAUAUGGUCCACCAUCACUUCAAGCAUCAUGGCUAUGGAGAAAAGAAUUUUUAAUUACAUAUAGACAUAAUAAGUUAAAGAAGAAAUAUUUAUUAAGUACACAGAAUUUGAUGUUGAAAUAUUUAAUUUCACAGUGUGAUCAUACACUUCAGUUUGGAAAGUCACUGCUUUCCAUUUUAUAUAUAUAAUGUGCAUACUUUUAUGUAAAUGAAAAAUCAUAUCUCCACUGACAAACAUUGAUUUACAAUUUGAAUAUUGCAUACUUACACAACAUUCUUUAUUAAGAUUUAGCUGUAUAUGUUAGAAAUUCAACUGUGUAGCUAGCAUUUAAUGGUUUUAAUAAAGUGAUGCUAUGUUAUAUUCUAAGGACUACAGUAUUGCUACUUUCAAAUAAUUCAUUGUUUAAAUAUACCUUUAUUGUACCCCCCGACAUCAAAGUUGUAAGGGGGGGUAUACUGGUUUCAGGUUGUCUGUCUGUCUGUCCGUAGACGCAAUCUUGUGCGCACAAUCUCUCCUUAUCCCCUUGACAGAAUUUAAUGAAACUUCACACAAGUGAUCAGUACCAACAGUAGUUGUGCAUGGGGCAUGUUAGGUUCUUUUAGAAAAAAAAUUUGCAGAGUUAUGGGACUUUGUUUUUUUGUUACUAUACUAUAUACAUAGACACAAUCUUGUGCGCACCAUCUCUCCUCAUCCCCUUGACACAAUUUAAUGAAACUUCACACAAGUGAUCAGUAACAACAGUAGUUGUGGAUGGGGCAUGUUAGGUUCUUUUAGAAAAAAAAUUUGCAGAGUUAUGGGACUUUGUUUUUUUGUUACUAUACUAUAUACAUAGACACAAUCUUGUGCGCACCAUCUCUCCUCAUCCCCUUGACACAAUUUAAUGAAACUUCACACAAGUGAUCAAUAACAAAAAUUGUUUUGCAUGGGGCAUGUUAGGUUCUUUCAGAAAAAAAAUUUGCAGAGUUAUGGGACUUUGUUUUUUUGUUACUAUACUAUAUACAUAGACACAAUCUUGUGCGCACCAUCUCUCCUCAUCCCCUUGACACAAUUUAAUGAAACUUCACACAAGUUAUCAGUAACAACAGUAGUUGUGCAUGGGGCAUGUUAGGUUCUUUCAGCGACAAAAAUUGCAGAGUUAUGGGACUUUGUUUCUUGUUAAAAUACUAUGUACAUACAGUCUGCAUAUGCAAUCUUGUGCGUGCCUAAUCUACCAAACCCUUGCACACAAUUUAAUGAAACUUCACACAAGUGAUCAGUACAAACCCUAGUUGUGCAUGGUGCAUGUUACAUUCUUUUAGAUAAAUAUUCUGCACAGUUAUGGGACUUUGUUUUUUGUUACUAUACUGUAUACAUACAGUCUAUAUAAUUAUGCAAUCUUGUGUGCGUCAAAUUGCAAUGUACUGUGUCAGUGCAUGCGGGGGGUCCAUUCAUCACCUUUAGUGAUAGCUCUAGUUUUAGUUAUGGAAUGUGGCUUGUUAUAAUGAUGGGUCUACAUGAUGACUUGUGUACAACCUGAUGGAGGCCGGGCAUACAGAUUUCAGUCCUGAACAUGUUUAGAAUGUCUUCUGCAUGACCUGGUAUGGUAUUCUUGAAGGAUUGUAACUUCAACAGAGAGACGGAGAUUAAUAUUUUCAGGCAGGGGGUCGGUAUGACGAGUAAAUUCCCCAGCUGUAUUACCAUUCCUGAGCUGGAUGCCAGUCGACAGUGGUGCCUGUAUAAUGAAAUAGCGCCUCUUUGCAGCAAUAGCAAUGUAUGCUCAAAACCAGCAGUGCCAAAGCCAUUAAAAUUGAGAACUUAGUCAUUUAAAUUGAAGAAUUAAUGGAAAAAAAUGUUUAACAUUUUAAGUAAUACAGAGAAAGAGCUUGGCUUAUUUUGUAUUUUCUGAAAUUUUAAUUAAUGUGAAAAUGUUUUUGAAUUUUUAACGAUGUACUAUACCCAAAUUUCAUAUAUUUGAAUAUGAACAAGUGCUACAUGUACUUUAUGUAUACAUUGAAUUAACAAGUUUAUGGUGUCAACAGUACUAUGCAUUGGUUAAAUAUAGAACACACUGUAUGUAUGUAAGGCUAUACACAGUAUAAAUGUGAAAUUCCUCUAAAACACUGGAAGAUUUUCCAGCAAAUUUACUGUUUAGUACUGUAGCUCUACAUACACAGUUGAUUUAUACAUUAAUCAAAGUUAAAUAUAUCUAAUGAUGAUUUUCUACAUUUGAAGUAAUUACCUAAAUAUUAAAUAUUUUAGUGAACAUAUAUUUUAUGCAACUAUAGAAGUUGAAAAAAAAGCUUCCCUCCAGGAAGAUAGAAGUUGAAAAAAAACUUCCCUCCAGGAAGAAUAUUUUUGAAUUGAUACUUUUACUUGAAAAUUUAUGUAAAAUGAAGGAAAUAGAUGUCAAAAUGAAUUCUUUAUUUAAGAAAUUUUGUUGCCAUGGAAACAGAACUUGAAUAUUGAGUAUGUCUGCUUUCAUACCAGAGUAAUAUGACUUUUAAUUAUAAUUAUGUAAACAGUUUAAUGUUACAUGUAUAUAAUCAUCACUAAAACUUUUAAAUUUCAGUUGACACCGUCAUUGAGCAAUGCAUCUUACAUUUGAAAUUGAAUGACACAUUACAGAUAUUAGAUGUUUAUGGAAUCGCUUUAGAUAUUUUUGAGAUGAAUAUAAAUCAGAAAAAAAGCAUGAAUUUUUGUUCUUCUAGAGAACUCACGUAUAUAAUUAUAUUUUAAUUUAGGUUGUUCUUUUUUUUGCAUCAAAUGUAGGCUGAAAUGUCUGUUGAAUUGACAUUUAAAGCAGUUGUUGUAUUUUGUUGCUAUGGAAACAUGAAUUAUGACAAUUUUUAUACGCCCGUUUGAAAAACGGGACGUAUUAUGGGAACGCCCCUGGCGGGCGGAUGGGCAGGCGGGCGGCGUCCACAGACCUUGUCCGGAGCAUAUCUUCUACAUGCAUGGAGGGAUUUUGAUGAAACUUGGCACAGUUGUUCACCAUCAUGAGACGGAGUGUCAUGCGCAAGAACCAGGUCCCUAGGUCUAAGGUCAAGGUCACACUUAGAGGUUAAAGGUCAAAUUCAAGAAUGACUUUGUCCGGAGCAUAUCUUCUUCAUGCAUGGAGGAAUUUUGAUGAAAGUUGGCACAAUUGUUUAUCAUCAUGAGACGGAGUGUUAUGCGCAAAAACCAGGUCCCUAGGUCUAAGGUCAAGGUCACACUUAGAGGUCAAAGGAUACAAGAAUGAAAAAUUCAAGAAUGACUUUGUCCGGAGCAUAUCUUCUUCAUGCAUGGAAGGAUUUUGAUGUAGCUUGGCACAUUUGUUCACCAUAAUGAGAGGGAGUGUCAUGCGCAAGAACCAGGUCCCUAGGUCUAAGGUCAAGGUCACACUUAGAGGUCAAAGGAUGCAAGAAUGAAAACUUUGUCCGGAGCAUAUCUUCUUCAUGCAUUGAGGGAUUUUGAUACAACUAAGCACAAAUGUUCACAAGCAUGAGACGGAGUGUCAUGCUCAAGAACCAGGUCCCUAGGUCUAAGGUCAAGGUCACACUUAGAGGCCAAAGGUCAGAUACAAGAAUGACCUUGUCCGGAGCAUUUCUUCUUCAUGCAUGGAGGGAUUUUGAUGUAACUUGGCACAAUUGUACACCAUCAUGAGACGGAGUGUCAUGCACUGGUCUCUUCUUUUGAAUUACUUUCCUUUGCUGUUACUAUAAAUAGCUUAUAUUGUAACUUUUUCAUUACAAGCCGUAGGGAAAAAUCGAGACCACUUUUCUGUAGUACAACAUGCAUGUUACAUCCAAUUCUGAGGUGUAUUUUGAGCUAUCUCUACCUGGUUAGGAUUUUUAUAUGGACUUGUAAUUUUUUUUUUUUAAUUUUUUUUUUUUUUUUCUUCUCUCUCUCUCUUUAAAGAUUAACUUCCCUUAGUUGUUACUAUAAAUAACUGACAUUGUAACUUUUUUAUAAUUGACGCUAGGGAAAAACCAAGACCACUUUUCUGUGGUACAACAUUGAUGUUACUUUCAAAUUUUGGGUGUAUUUUAAGGUAUCUCUACCUGGUAAGGAUUUUUUUUGUGGACUUAGAAAAAUAAAAGAAUUACAAUAAUUUCUAAAAAAAAAAAAACAUUGUAAACAACUAGAAAAUUAAAAUUCCAUUUGCAAAUACAGGUGCUAGUGUAAAGAAAUUUACUGUGACGGGCGUAUAUUGUGACAUUCUGGCACUCUUGUUUGAAUAUGAAAUAGCAUAUUUAUACUCAAUUUAUAGCAAGUAGGCAUUAUCAACUGUGCUAAUCAUGUUAAAUACUUUUGAUAUUGAUGACAAAAUAUGAAAUUAAAAUAUAUAUGAUGAAAGUACAUGAUUUUAGUAUUUGUCAUUAUUAUUAAACAAAAAGUGCAAGUUUGCGAUUGGGAAGUAUUGUAAAAAAAUGCUGUAAUUUUGUUAUUUUUAAACAUGCAGGUCUAAAAUUUUGAAUUUAUGUUAAGGACACAUCUACAGUUCAGAAUAUGUGAAAAACUCAGUUUCUAUGAAAAUGUCAUUUGGGACCAUUUUGUCAUGGCUUGUUACAUUUUUUCAGUCCUAUAUUUCUCACUUCAACAUAAAUGGAUGACUGUUGUUUGAAUACAUGUUAUGGUAUAUUUAAGUGAUGUGCAGAUCAUCUAUGAUAGUUACUAUGGUUACCAAGUUCCCAUUUAAAGAUGCUACCCUUCAGUCACUGAGCUUCCUGAAACCAGACCGAAGGGAUACUGUCACACCUGAAGAAGUUGCCAUCUGUUUGUCUGGUUUGUUAGUGUUUCCCAGGUUGAUGAGUAUGAAGGUCAACUUACUGAACUGACCAAACCAGAUCAACUAGAGACAUACUGGGCAUCUAUCGGGGAAGUGAAGGUCCACACUGGAAAGGAGAGGUGUCUUGAACUGAGUAAAAUGGCUUUACUUCUCUUAUCACUACCGCACAGCAGUGCUGAUCCAGAGCCGUCCUUCAGCAUACUGAGGAAGAUACAGGCUGACAGCAGGAACAACACAGCUCUGGAAACCAUUCAGAACUUGAUGUCUGUGAAAAUGAACUAUCACUCUAUAUGUUCAACAUUCUCUUCAUCUCAUGAACUUAUUAGAUAGGAAAAGUCAGUGUGUAAUGUAUACAUUCGUAAGUGAAGACAGCAUAAACAAUGUGUUACUUCUUGAAAUACUAAAUUGUGCUUUUAGUAUUUUUAGUGUCUAUAGUUUAUUGGAGAGAACUCUAGUGAUUUGUAUUCAUUGUGAUAUCUGGAUAAGAUAGAACGAAAGAUAAUAUAAAAUUUUGAUUUUGUCUCUAAAAUUGUGUUUUUUGCUUGACAUUAUGAAGUAUAUGGAGAGCUAUCCUACUCACCCCAGCGUCAGCGUCCUUCCGCAUCCCUACAUUAUAUUGCACAAGGGCCAUAACUCUCACACCAAUAUUUUUUAAUUAUCUCCCUUCGAAGGAGUUUCCGGACGAUGACUUGAAAAUGUUUGGGCCUAGGAUAAUGAAACUUGAUUGGGAGGUUGAUCAUGAUCAGGAGAUGACCCCUAUUCAUGUUGAGGUCAGUAGGUCUAAGGUCAAGGUCACAGUGACCUAGAACAGUUAAAUGGUUUCUGGAUGAUAAAUCAAGAACGCUUAAGCCUAGGAUCAUGAAAAAUGACAGGAAGGUUGGUCAUGACCAGCAGUUGACCCUUAUUGAUUCUGAGUUCAAUAGGUCAAAGGUCAAGGUCACAUUGACCCAGAACAGUAGAACUUUUGUAUCCAAUGACCAAAUAAUUUCUGUUCCUUGUGCAAUUAUUGAAUUCAUCAAGGGGACAUUUCGUAUUCUACGAGCUCUUGUUUACUUAGAAUUUCAGGUUAAUGUUUUGAUGCACUUUCACUC